rnacentral:rRNA from 1 species
CUGUGGGCUAAUACCUGCAAGAGAGACAUCACUCACAGAAGAGCACGGCUAACUCGUGCCAGCAGCCGCGGUAAUACGGAGGGUGCGAGCGUAAUCGGAAUUACUGGGCGUAAAGCGCGCGUAGGCGGCUUGAUAAGCCGGUUGUGAAAGCCCCGGGCUCAACCUGGGAACGGCAUCCGGAACUGUCAGGCUAGAGUGCAGGAGAGGAAGGUAGAAUUCCCGGUGUAGCGGUGAAAUGCGUAGAGAUCGGGAGGAAUACCAGUGGCGAAGGCGGCCUUCUGGACUGACACUGACGCUGAGGUGCGAAAGCGUGGGUAGCAAACAGGAUUAGAUACCCUGGUAGUCCACGCCGUAAACGAUGUCGACUAGCCGUUGGGGUCCUCGAGACCUUUGUGGCGCAGUUAACGCGAUAAGUCGACCGCCUGGGGAGUACGGCCGCAAGGUUAAAACUCAAAUGAAUUGACGGGGGCCCGCACAAGCGGUGGAGCAUGUGGUUUAAUUCGAUGCAACGCGAAGAACCUUACCUACUCUUGACAUCGAGCGAACUUUCCAGAGAUGGAAGGGUGCCUUCGGGAACGCUCAGACAGGUGCUGCAUGGCCGUCGUCAGCUCGUGUUGUGAAAUGUUGGGUUAAGUCCCGUAACGAGCGCAACCCUUGUCCCUAUUUGCCAGCGAUUCGGUCGGGAACUCUAGGGAGACUGCCGGUGACAAACCGGAGGAAGGUGGGGACGACGUCAGGUCAUCAUGGCCCUUACGAGUAGGGCUACACACGUGCUACAAUGGCCGGUACAGAGGGUGGCAAUGCCGCGAGGUGGAGCUAAUCUCAUAAAGCCGGUCUCAGUCCGGAUCGGAGUCUGCAACUCGACUCCGUGAAGUCGGAAUCGCUAGUAAUCGUGAAUCAGAAUGUCACGGUGAAUACGUUCCCGGGCCUUGUACACACCGCCCGUCACACCAUGGGAGUGGACUGCACCAGAAGUGGUUAGCCUAACUUCGGAGGGCGAUCACCACGGUGUG